UACCUAGUGGCUCAGAUGGUAGAGAAUCUGCCUGCAAUGCAGGAGACCCAGGUUCGAUCUCUGGGUUGGGAAA
rnacentral:tRNA from 1 species